rnacentral:rRNA from 1 species
UACGUAGGGGGCUAGCGUUGUCCGGAUUUAUUGGGUUUAAAGGGUGCGUAGGUGGCCUUAUAAGUCAGCGGUGAAAGUCUGCAGCUUAACUGUAGAACUGCCAUUGAUACUGUAAGGCUUGAGUACUGAUGAGGUAGGCGGAAUUGAUAGUGUAGCGGUGAAAUGCAUAGAUAUUAUCAAGAACACCGAUUGCGAAGGCAGCUUACUAAGGAGUUACUGACACUGAGGCACGAAAGCGUGGGGAUCAAACAGG